CACGUAGUUAGCCGUCCCUUUCUGGUAAGAUACCGUCACAGUGUGAACUUUCCACUCUCACACUCGUUCUUCUCUUACGACAGAGCUUUACGAUCCGAAAACCUUCUUCACUCACGCGGCGUUGCUCGGUCAGACUUCCGUCCAUUGCCGAAGAUUCCCUACUGCUGCCUCCCGUAGGAGUCUGGGCCGUGUCUCAGUCCCAGUGUGGCCGAUCACCCUCUCAGGUCGGCUAUGUAUCGUCGCCUUGGUGAGCCGUUACCUCACCAACUAGCUAAUACAACGCAGGUCCAUCUGGUAGUGGAGCAAUUUGCCCCUUUCAAGCAGAUAUCAUGCAAUAUCUACUGUUAUGCGGUAUUAGCUAUCGUUUCCAAUAGUUAUCCCCCGCUACCAGGCAGGUUACCUACGCGUUACUCACCCGUUCGCAACUCAUCCGGAAAAGAGCAAGCUCCUUCCUUCAGUCGUUCUACUUGCAUGUAUUAGGCACGCCGCCAGCCGUUCA
rnacentral:rRNA from 1 species